GAUUGGCAGUGGGUCCAGCGCAACCUGGAAAAACACUGGCUGCAAGGUGAAAGUCCACUGGAAUUGGGUCGCCAAUCAAAGGCCAUGCUGAGAUAGAGAGGAGAAGGGCAGGAGAGACAUGAGCGCAGGAGGAGGUUCCGCUGGGCCUCCUGAAGCCGUCGAGAGUCAGACGCGAGCUUGGAGGACAGAUAGGCUGCGAUCUCCUCAUUGCUUAAGGCAGUUGCUGUAGAUAGAUUAAGCACCUGAAGUAUGUGAGCGGCAUUGGAGUGUGUGCUGGCAGACAGGAUGGUAUAGAUGUGUGGAGGUGAAGAAGUGCAGAGCCAGGACAGGUCACCUUCAUGCUCCUCACUUAACUCAUCCAAACCAUCAAGCACUACAGCCAGAGGUCUGUCUUCAUUCACUAACAUCAACAACGAGUGAAGCUCCCUCGACAGCUGUGCUAAGGACUGUAGAUACGAUACAAUCAAACACACAAUUUAAAAUGUAUUACAGGACUGUAUUGUUGUUGAUUCAUAUAAACAG